rnacentral:rRNA from 1 species
AGUAACCUGCCUUGGAGUGGGGAAUAACAGAUGGAAACAUCUGCUAAUACCGCAUAAUACGUCUGUGUCGCAUGGCACUGGACGUCAAAGAUUUAUCGCUCUGAGAUGGACUCGCGUCUGAUUAGCUGGUUGGCGGGGUAACGGCCCACCAAGGCGACGAUCAGUAGCCGGACUGAGAGGUUGGCCGGCCACAUUGGGACUGAGACACGGCCCAGACUCCUACGGAAGGCAGCAG